rnacentral:rRNA from 1 species
AGCAGCCACGGUAAUACGAAGGGGGCUAGCGUUACUCGGAAUUACUGGGCGCAAAGGGCGCGUAGGCGGCACGAUUAGUCAGGCGUGAAAUUCCUGGGCUCAACCUGGGGACUGCGCUUGAUACGGUCGAGCUAGAGGAUGGAAGAGGGUUGUGGAAUUCCCAGUGUAGAGGUGAAAUUCGUAGAUAUUGGGAAGAACACCGGUGGCGAAGGCGGCAACCUGGUCCAUUACUGACGCUGAGGCGCGACAGCGUGGGGAGCAAACAGGAUUAGAUACCCAAGUAGUCCCUGUCUCUUAUACA